rnacentral:miRNA from 1 species
UUAAGUAGUAGUGCCGCAGGUUG